CCUACGGGGGCUGCAGUGGGGAAUAUUGGACAAUGGGCGAAAGCCUGAUCCAGCCAUGCCGCGUGUGUGAAGAAGGCCUUCGGGUUGUAAAGCACUUUCAGUGGGGAAGAAAGCCUUGGGGCUAAUACCCUCGAGGAAGGACAUCACCCACAGAAGAAGCACCGGCUAACUCCGUGCCAGCAGCCGCGGUAAUACGGAGGGUGCGAGCGUUAAUCGGAAUUACUGGGCGUAAAGCGCGCGUAAGCGGUCUGAUAAGCCGGUUGUGAAAGCCCCGGGCUCAACCUGGGAACGACAUCCGGAACUGUCAGGCUAGAGUGCAGGAGAGGAAGGUAGAAUUCCCGGUGUAGCGGUGAAAUGCGUAGAGAUCGGGAGGAAUACCAGUGGCGAAGGCGGCCUUCUGGACUGACACUGACGCUGAGGUGCGAAAGCGUGGGUAGCAAACAGGAUUAGAUACCCUAGUAGUC
rnacentral:rRNA from 1 species